GACCAGAUCCUACGGCCAUACUUUGAAAAUAAUAAGACCGUUAGGCUUUAAAAGGCAUGUGUUAUAUACAGUAUUUCAAUUUCAAUUCUCUGUAUUUGAAUUUCAUCUGAGAGAGCAAAAUAGAGAUCAUGGUAGCGGGCCAGCGGCUACAGAGGCGGAUAAACGAAAGAGCUGAUUCAAUGUGUUUUGUAAUGGAUUCGAGACCAAUGUUCGACAAAUCAGAGGUUCGGUUUUAAUUGUGCUCUAGGGUUCUUUUAAUUCAAUUAGAUGUUUUCUUGUGUUGGAUCUUCAAUUUCUUUUGAUUAUUCUACAAUUACGUCUUUUCCAUCCACACUGUGUUCUGUAAACCCUAGUAUUCGGCGUUUAUUGAUUCUUAAUUUUGAUUUCAAGAGAAAGUAAUUCAUUUUGAUAUUUUCGAGUUUGUUCGGUUUCUCUUGCGUUCUAGGGUUCUCUAAAUUCUUUUACAUCUUUUGUAUUUAUUGUUUAUAGUGAUUAUUGUAUUUAUUGUCUAUUCAUGUGUGUUCAGUAAACCCUAUUUUUUGGUGUAUAUUGAUGCUUAAAUUUUGAUAUCAAGAGACAGCAAUUCAUUUCAAUUUUUUCUUCUCUGUGGAGUUAGUUUAAUUAUUAUCUUGUUGUAUUCUUUUACAUAUUUUUUAAUUUAAUUUUUGUAAUGAUUUCUUCUCUAUUCUUUUUCUCUCUGUGUGUUUUGUGGAUUUUUUUAUGAUUGCUAUUAAUAAUUUGUAUUGUUAGUGGCUUACAUUGAAUAGAUGUUUUCUUUACAUAUGAUUUCUGUCUAAUUGGGUUUUUUCCUUGAUUUCUUGUCUAAUUGGGUUUUUGUUUGUUUUGUCUGUCACUUUGAGUAUGAGUUUCACUAUCUCUUUUCUUUCAGUCUACUUGACUUUUUUAUUUAUUAAUGUUGUUCUGUUUGGAAACACCAUUAUCAGAAUCUCUCUCUCUAAAAAGGAAAAAAAAUGAUGUUGUACUAAUCCUAUAUAUAUACAUGUAAUGUUUAUAUCAGGGUUUGGUGUCUACAGAUUUUGAUUCGCAGUGCAGAUCUAGUGCUUUAGGGUUUCAACAUUUGCUCACGAAUGGCCAGGCAGGAGGCUGUUGAUUGGAUGGGAAAG
rnacentral:lncRNA from 1 species